GCCGGCCGACACAGCGGU
rnacentral:misc_RNA from 1 species